rnacentral:rRNA from 3 species
CGGUAAGGCCCUUCGGGGUACACGAGCGGCGAACGGGUGAGUAACACGUGGGUGAUCUGCCUCGCACUUCGGGAUAAGCCUGGGAAACUGGGUCUAAUACCGGAUAUGACCGACUAGUGCAUGCUGGUUGGUGGAAAGAUUUAUCGGUGCGAGAUGGGCCCGCGGCCUAUCAGCUUGUUGGUGAGGUAACGGCUCACCAAGGCGACGACGGGUAGCCGACCUGAGAGGGUGACCGGCCACACUGGGACUGAGACACGGCCCAGACUCCUACGGGAGGCAGCAGUGGGGAAUAUUGCACAAUGGGCGAAAGCCUGAUGCAGCGACGCCGCGUGGAGGAUGACGGCCUUCGGGUUGUAAACUCCUUUCGACAGGGACGAAGCGAAAGUGACGGUACCUGUAGAAGAAGCACCGGGCCAACUACGUGCCAGCAGCCGCGGUAAUACGUAGGGUGCGAGCGUUGUCCGGAAUUACUGGGCGUAAAGAGCUUGUAGGCGGUCUGUCGCGUCUUCUGUGAAAACUUGGGGCUCAACCUUAAGCUUGCAGGCGAUACGGGCAGACUAGAGUACUUCAGGGGAGACUGGAAUUCCUGGUGUAGCGGUGAAAUGCGCAGAUAUCAGGAGGAACACCGGUGGCGAAGGCGGGUCUCUGGGAAGUAACUGACGCUGAGAAGCGAAAGCAUGGGUAGCAAACAGGAUUAGAUACCCUGGUAGUCCAUGCCGUAAACGGUGGGUACUAGGUGUGGGUUUCCUUCCACGGGAUCCGUGCCGYAGCUAACGCAUUAAGUACCCCGCCUGGGGAGUACGGCCGCAAGGCUAAAACUCAAAGAAAUUGACGGGGGCCCGCACAAGCGGCGGAGCAUGUGGAUUAAUUCGAUGCAACGCGAAGAACCUUACCUGGGUUUGACAUACACCGGAAACCUGCAGAGAUGUAGGCCCCCUUGUGGUCGGUGUACAGGUGGUGCAUGGCUGUCGUCAGCUCGUGUCGUGAGAUGUUGGGUUAAGUCCCGCAACGAGCGCAACCCUUAUCUUAUGUUGCCAGCGCGUAAUGGCGGGGACUCGUGAGAGACUGCCGGGGUCAACUCGGAGGAAGGUGGGGACGACGUCAAGUCAUCAUGCCCCUUAUGUCCAGGGCUUCACACAUGCUACAAUGGCCAGUACAGAGGGCUGCGAGACCGCGAGGUGGAGCGAAUCCCUUAAAGCUGGUCUCAGUUCGGAUCGGGGUCUGCAACUCGACCCCGUGAAGUUGGAGUCGCUAGUAAUCGCAGAUCAGCAACGCUGCGGUGAAUACGUUCCCGGGCCUUGUACACACCGCCCGUCACGUCAUGAAAGUCGGUAACACCCGAAGCCGGUGGCCUAACCCCUUGUGGGAGGGAGCC